ACACUUCACAGUUUUGGGAAUCAUAACUUCCCCAUCUCCCUCUCCUUCUUGUACAAAUGCUGACAUGGGGCUCCAUCUGCACUGAGCAUCUUUUGAAGAUGAGGCCACAAGAGACAAAAGAGGCACAUCCCCUGCUUAACGAACUUGCUAAACGAACACUGGCAGCUGCUUACCUGUGGACUUUUGCUAUUCUUGCAGAUAGAGGUCAAAUUCAAUGAGAAUGGAGAAACUUAACCCCAUGGAUUCACGUCUUAAAAAUAUUUUAACUUCAUGAUAUCCUGUACAUCUUGAUGUGAUGCACUGAGAAGAACACAAUAUUACUUAAUGUAAUAUUCCUGCCAAAAAUACAUAAUCGGAAUAGAAUCAUGAGGAAACAUCAGAGAAACCCAAAUUAAGAGACUUUCUACCAAAAAAAAAAAAAAGGCCUGUAAUUAUUUAAAAAUGUCAAAGUCAUAACUGUUCCAGAUUCAAGAAGACUAAAGAGACACGACAACUACAAGCAAUGUGUGAUCCUGGAUUGUGUCCUGGAGCACAAGGAAAAACUGACAUAGAAAAUAUUAUUGGGAUAACUGUACUAGUAUUGAAUCAAUGGUAAUUUUCUUGAAUUUGGUAAAUAAAUCAUGGUUAUAUAAAAAACUAUCAUUAGACAGGAAAUACAUUCUGAAGUAUAUGGAGGAGAUAAAGGGGCACUGUGUCUGUAACCACUCUCAAAUGUUUCAAAAACAAUAAUUAUGUAUGUAUGCAUACAUAUAAAUGAUAAAGCAAAUGGUAAAGCAAUAUAUAUAUGUAUGUAUAUACAUAUAUAGAUAUAGAUAUAAAGAUAUGCAAAGCACAUGAGGCAAAAUGUUAGUAACUGGUGAAUCUAAGUGAAGGGUAAUCAAGGAGUGUUUUGUACUGUUCUUAAAACUUUUCUAUAAGUUUUAAAUUAUUUCAAAAUAAAAAAGUAAAAAAAAAAAUAAUGGUAGAUACAUUGCCUUUCAUUUUAAAACAUAAAUUUUAAAGCUGGAAGAGACUGGAAAAAAAAAAAAAAAACCAACCCCACAUAGCUCUAGCAUUUUAUUUCAUCUGAGAGGAAGUUGUAGCCUAAAGGGCUAAAGGGCUCAGGAAAACUUCGUAAGGUUGCAGAAACAACGAAAAAACUCCCACCUUCAGAUCCCCACUAACUAUCCUUUCCAGCAAACCACAUUGAUUCUACAAAAAGAUGAUACAUCACAGAAGCAAACAUAUCAUUUCACUGGCUAAGUCACUGCUGCCAAAACUUCUCAAGUUCCUCAUCAUACAAGCAAUUCAUCCCCAGUCUGCGCCAGCAGUUUGCUGGGCAUGAGGAUAGACAAUGGAAGAGCUGAGAACUCAGAGACAGUGGGGGAGGGGCUGUCCCAGUGCAUACAUAACCCCAGCUGUGGCCUUUGAUCUUAUUUUAAACCUGAAAUUACACGUAAUGGGAUCAACUCUUGGAUUAACAGAGCAGUUAUAGGCAUUUUCUAUAGAUAGUACAUUUUGUUGGAUUUUAUGUCUUUUGUUACAUGAUAAAAGAUGGUAAGAGUCAAAAGUACAAAUGCUGGGGUUCUUAGAAUACAACAUUAACAUGCCUUUCCAUAUUACAUGUUGUCUUACACGGUACAAUCAAAGCUCGUUAGAAGGUAAGAUGAAUGAGCCUAUUUUCUACAUUAAAGUGCCAGCAGUUACAGAGAAAGCAAAGAAAGGGGAAAAAAAAAACACAUCAAGAAAUAAGGGAAAAACAAGAGUUCCUUUAGGUAAUCCACACACUUGAAUUUUUUUAACUUACUGAUCAAACAGUGAAUUGUAAAUAAAUUAAUAAGAUACACUUUUUAUGUACAAAUCAGUCUUUUUGUCUGUACCAUAAUAGAUGUAUUUAUGUUACCUAUCAUAGCCUCUAGUAAGUUAUCAAUAAUAACUUUUAUAUUAGUUUAUUCACUUAAAAGGCAAUAAUCGAGUGUUAAAGGAAAAUACUGUUUUCAUAAUGCUCAAAGUUCUGAUUUAUUUUUUUACAGAUUUCAUUUAUUCAUUCGAGAGAGAGAGAGCAUGAGCAGAGAGGAAGGUCAGAGGAAGAGGGAGAAGUAAACUCCCCACUGAGUAGGAAGCAAGACUAGAUAGGGCUCAAUCCCAAAACCCUGGGGAUCACAACCAGAGCUGAAGGUAGACACUUCACCAACUGAGCCACCCAGGUGCCCCUGUGUUUGACUAAUUUAGUCAAAAUUCUGUCAAUCUACCAAAGUUUCAUCUGUAUUUCUUCAGCAGCACCAACACUAAAGCCACCAGAUACCAAAUAAUCCGAAUGAUAAUUCCCCAUCCCUAAAUAAUUUUUUUUCCUCCUGAAUUGGCUAAAUUUCAAUCAAUAUAUAAAUUAAAAAAUAUAAAGUUUUAGACUAGAUAAGCCCACAAUUCAGCCUGCUGGUAGUGAACCUAUUACUAAAUACGUAAUGUGUUGUGGACAUACAUGCCUGUUGGUGCCUCUCAGGGUUCCCACAUCCCAACUUUGUUUCCCAUUCACUGAAGACUUUCUGACUGUAACUAUAUUUAAACCUAUGUAAUUAUAGAAAUAACUGCU